GGCAAGGGGUUCCACGCUUUCUAAUCACCGAGUGUCACCAACCUCUUCCCAGAGUCAAGGUUGAAUCUGUGAGGCACAGAGGUGAGGCUGAUGGGAAGAGUAAGGACUUCAGAGACCUGGGCACAAUACUGCCUCCAUCUGUCUGAGUGGCUCUGAUCAGGUGCCUUAACCUCUCUGACCUGUUGUUUUAUCUAGGCAAUACAGAUGACAGCACUGAGAUACAGAACCUUUGUCUGUGAGGAGAGUCACAGCAGAAAGUGGAUUUCUUUUUGAUGCUGCCAUGGUACUGCUUGACUACCCAAUGCCCACCUUCUCCCCUGUAUCCUGCAUCACACUGUGCACAUCCUGUAUUCCUCUCCUACACUGGGCUGUGAGUUUAACGAGCUAAUAGAACCACGAUACAUUAGUGGAAGCACCAGGCUCACUUCUCCUGACUCCUCUGAAGUCACUUCCUGGGUGUCUGUAGGAACGAAUUCUGGCCAAUGAAAUCCCUUGCUCAAGAUGUUGGGUAUGAUGUACACUCCUACCAUGAUGUGCCAGUUACCUGCCACCAUCAUCAGAGACCAAAACAAAUGGGACCAUCUGGUCUUCUAUGGUUUAGGACCUGCUGGCAGGAUCCUGAUGUUGCGGCUCGUGACAGUCUUCGACUUUGAACAUUAAAAACUGUGAAUUAAACAGCAUUGACAUAGAAGCUCAGAGCAGAGACAUCACGGAGAUGGUAACCAGACCUCUGGGGAGGAG